CGAUCCCCCACGAGAGGCACCUUCGCACGUCUCCCUGCGUUCAGCCCCCUCGGGCCAGACGGCCCGAUGAAAGCUCUGUGUCGUUCUCGUAAUUAUCGCAUAAUUGCCUCCUGAUGGGUUAGGGACAGCGGCGACAAACUACAUUUAGAAGGUGAUGUAUGGGGGGUGAGGGGGCAGAGAUAAAAAUACAAAAACAAACGAGCAAGCGUCCCAGAAAUCUCCCAAGCCAACCCAAUUACUCCAACGCUGUUACUCAGCGAAAAAGGAGAGAAAAUUAUUUUAUAGCCCUUCUGCUUUGCUACGGGCGGGCAUACGGAGCGGGGACCCCGGCUCAGCCCUUCGUCCGGCGCGUCCCCGCAGCCCCGGCAGAGCGGCCCCGGAUCCGGACAGGUGGAUGCUAUUCAAAGUGCCAAUUCUGCUGCCAGGAGCUGCUCGGGGGACAAGUGGAAAGAUACACAGCACACAAUGACCGGGAGAAAAUCACAGCACAAAGGGGAGCGGAGCGGCCGCGGGGAGGAAUGUGGGCUCCGCACUCCCACGCUGCGGUGCCGGGUACGGCAAUGCGGGAUAACGGCUAACAGCUGAAAUCAAAACGCAAUUGGUUUGAUUUUUUUUUAAAUGCCGAGGGCGGCAUUGAGGGGAAAGGAGUCGUUUUUUAAUCUUAAUGCAAACCCAUCCGCCAGCAGACGCAGAGUAAAAGCUCGUUAAAAAAAAAAAAAAAAAACACAAUAUAAAAAAUGGAAUGUGCUUUUUCUGAGCUUUGCGGAUCUUUACGGGGGAGAAACAAAUGAGGGAAGAGUGGAAAAUGGGAGGCGAUAAGAAGAAAACCUGCCUUUGUUCUCCCUGGUCAUUUUCUGCUAAUUACUCUGCCCAUUGUGACAAAGUCGCAGUUAAGGGCACAUUAGUGUACAUAACGCCGCGUUUCGCCCCGCACCGCUCAGCGCCCGGCCCGAGCCGUGCCGCCGUGUUUGUGUUCCUCCCCUUCACCUCCAACAGAAACUCUUUGAGAUUUCAGAUCUUUGAACUUUGGACGGAUCAAACUGCCGGCGCUCACCUUUGUC
rnacentral:lncRNA from 1 species